AACGAACGCUGGCGGCGCGCUUAACACAUGCAAGUCGAACGAGAAGGCGUAGCAAUACGCUUGUAAAGUGGCGAACGGGUGAGGAAUACAUGGGUAACCUACCCUCGAGUGGGGGAUAACCCGCCGAAAGGCGGGCUAAUACCGCGUACGCUUCCGAUCUCGCGGGAUCGGAAGGAAAGCUGUCCCAAGGGGAUGGCGCUCAAGGAUGGGCUCAUGUCCUAUCAGCUUGUUGGUAGGGUAACGCCUACCAAGGCAUCGACGGGUAGCUGGUCUGAGAGGACGAUCAGCCACACUGGCACUGCGACACGGGCCAGGACUCCUACGGGAGCAGCAGUGAGGAAUAUUGCGCAAUGGGCAAAGCCUGACGCAGCGACGCCGCGUGGGGGA
rnacentral:rRNA from 1 species